ACUCCUACGGGAGGCAGCAGUGGGGAAUAUUGCACAAUGGGCGCAAGCCUGAUGCAGCCAUGCCGCGUGUAUGAAGAAGGCCUUCGGGUUGUAAAGUACUUUCAGCAGUGAGGAAGGUGGAUGCGUUAAUAGCGUAUUCAUUUGACGUUAGCUGCAGAAGAAGCACCGGCUAACUCCGUGCCAGCAGCCGCGGUAAUACGGAGGGUGCGAGCGUUAAUCGGAAUUACUGGGCGUAAAGCGCAUGCAGGUGGUUUGUUAAGUCAGAUGUGAAAGCCCGGGGCUCAACCUCGGAAUUGCAUUUGAAACUGGCAGACUAGAGUACUGUAGAGGGGGGUAGAAUUUCAGGUGUAGCGGUGAAAUGCGUAGAGAUCUGAAGGAAUACCGGUGGCGAAGGCGGCCCCCUGGACAGAUACUGACACUCAGAUGCGAAAGCGUGGGGAGCAAACAGGAUUAGAUACCCUGGUAGGAUAGCG
rnacentral:rRNA from 1 species